ensembl:snoRNA SNORD58 Small nucleolar RNA SNORD58
UUGCUAUGAUGACUAUCUUAGGACACCUUUGGAAUGCUCAUGAAAAAAAAUAUGUAUUUCUGAGCAAC